UACGUAGGGGGGCUAGCGUUGUCCGGAAUCAUUGGGCGUAAAGAGCGUGUAGGCGGUCCGGUAAGUCCGUUGUGAAAGUCAGGGGCUCAACCCUUGAAUGCCGGCGGAUACUGUCGGGCUAGAGUCCGGAAGAGGCAAGUGGAAUUCCCGGUGUAGCGGUGAAAUGCGCAGAUAUCGGGGAGGAACACCUAUGGCGAAGGCAGCUUGCUGGGACGGUACUGACGCUGAGACGCGAAAGCGUGGGGAGCAAACAGG
rnacentral:rRNA from 1 species